rnacentral:lncRNA from 1 species
UAAGAAGAUUCUAUAAAUAUUUUUUCUAAUUAGGAAGAUUUUAUAAAUAUUUUCUCUAAUUAAGAAGAUUUUAUAGAUAUUUCCUCUAAUUACAACAAUCUUGCUGUAUAAAUAUGUGUAUAAGUGUUUGGGGCUGAUGAAAAAUAUCUUAUGAUAUGUCCAUGAGUUGUUUUCAGCUAUUUACAACAAUUUUUCCAGGAUGACCUGUGAAAAAAAUACAAUUAUUUGCAAAAUGUUUAAUGUUAUUUUGAGUUUAAUUGUAGAAACAUGAACUGUAGAAACUUGUACAUACAGACUUGUGUCUGCAAGUUAUUUGGGAAAGAAAAAUGCUAAGCAAGUUGAUUAUGUACCAACUCAACUAAUAAAUCUGUUUGUUUGUGUAUGACACUUGGCAAAUGUAUUUCACCCUAUAUGGAAUGUGUAGAAUGCAUUGGAGGAAUAGUACUACCCUAUACAACUUUUUUUUUCUUAUGUUUAUACUCCUGUGUAUGUUGUGUUCAUUGCUAAAGGAAAAGAAAUCACUUGUCACUUGAGUUGCUCUUUAUUUUGUGAAUGUGUCUUUUGAAGGUAUCCAAACCUUAAAAGCAUAAAGGAGCUAAUUUACAAGAAAGGACUCGCCAGGAUGGAUGGGCGGAAAGUUCCCUUAACAGAUAAUAGCAUUAUUGAACAGGUAAUAUAUGGAGUUCCUGGAUCCCUGGUUUUUUAUUAUCGUUUCUCCCUAGCAUUUUGUAAAUUUUCCAAUUUUUCUCAUGCAGGAAUUAGGAAAAUUUGGUGUUGUCUGCAUAGAGGACAUGGUGCAUCAGCUAUAUAAUGCUGGUCCCCACUUUAAGGAAGUUGUCAGAUUUAUGUGGCCCUUUGUACUCAACAAGCCAGCUGAAGGAUUGAAAGGAUCAAAAACCCUAUUCAAGGAGGGUGGAGACACUGGGAACCGUGAGGAUCUCAUCAAUGAACUGAUCGAUAAAAUGAAUUAGUGGCUGUUGUAGUCUCAAAAUUUUGAUGUGUACUAUUUCGAUAGGAUGAUCCUAUGUCCAAGCAUCUCAGUUUUUAAGUAACUGAUUUAUUACCUAGAAAACGGAUCUUUAUAGUCUUAGAUAAUUGCAUGUAUCUCUUAGGCAUUUGGAGAAGAAAGGGAUAGCAGCAUGGUAUGCACAGGGGCUUGAAUUAGUGAAUUCUCAAUAUAUUUUAAAUCUCAGGAAUGAUGAUUGAAGUUUGAAUGAAAUUUUCUUUAUAGAAUCAAAGUUCCUUAUUCUUGCUUGUGAUGAUUUAUGAUUUGAAAAUCUAUCAUUUAGUAGGGUUUUUAACAGGAUUGUGUAUUUAUUGACUUAAUAUAUCAUCAACACUCAACUUCAUGAAAUACUUAAUGACAUCUGCACAAGAGUGCUUCAUAAUGGUAGGUUCUAAUGAUGUUCAGAUGGAUAGGAUUAAGCAAUUUUUAUUCUUUUGUAAUGAAACAAAAAACUCGACUUUUAACAAAGAAACCUUUUAUAGAAACCUUGAAGACAAUAGACUGUAAAUAUCGUAUAAUUAAAUUGAUGUUUCCACAGUAGACUGAUGAAACAUUUUCAGUUAAAGUUAGAUUCACCUUGCCAAUCUGUAAUAAAAGCUUGUAUAACAAAUUUGAAUCAGUGGCCAAGUGUUAUCGAAUUUAACUUGUAAAUGGGUUGUUCGAGCCUACCAAAUUUUUAAAUUAGAUUAUUUCAAGAACUGCUAUGUUAAACAUUUGCUGCAGUGCGAUAUCUGUACAUUUACUGUACCCACCAAUUUACAAAAGAAUAAUAUAUAUUACUGUGGUCACAAAUAAUAUAUAUUCUUAUAUAAUAAUACUAGUUAAAUUGGUUUGUGGUUUAAGCACUGAUCUACUUAAAUAACUAGUAACUCAUCAAUCAACCAGUAUAUGGACUGAAUCAAUUACCAAUUUUUUGGAACAUUGAUGUAUAUCAACGCAAGUGCCUCUGAAAUCAUUCUGCUAAUGAAAAUUUACAGAGAAAUAGGUUUACUUAAAAGGUUGGUUAUACUAAAUGUGUGUUUGGAGACACUGAUAUAUUAGAUUGUUAUAGCAUAGAUUUCUCUGGUGUUCUAAUUUUUCCAGAGCAAAAAAAAAAAAAUUGAGGAGAUUUAAAGUAUAAAGUUGAAUAUAUAUCUACAUAGCAUGCCCCAAGUUUCUCAAGAUGUAUUGUACAACUGCUAAACAAUGGUGAAUAUGUGAGAGAUAAUUUAAGGCAUACCACAAUGACAUUCUUCUCUAAAAGAAAACAUGUACAUGACCCUAAGCUGAGAGGCACUUCCUGUACAGGGAUUACGUGUUCAAUAUUUUCUUUGGCUUGAGAUGGAAGAAAUUAACCAGUACUGCUUCUAUAAGUUUGAUAAAUUUCAUCCACUUGCUCUGCUGGCACAUAAAUUGCAUCUUUUAGAAAGCUAUGAGUUCGGCCAUAAAAGACAUAAACUAGUAGUCCUGUUCCCAUCCAUAUAGAAACACGCAACCAUGUACCAUAUCUGAAACAAAGAUGAGUAAGAAUUAGAAAAUGCAAUUCCAUUAACAAAGUUUCAACAUUGAACUGCUGAUUCUGCAAAAUACUAUGAAUAUAUCUCAGUUUUAUCCAUUUGACUCUUCUCUGUUAUUUAGAAUGUUGGUUGAAUUAGACAGUUUAUUCUACAGCACGGACAUUCAAUUUUACAAACCAGAGAAACAAAUAUGAAAAGAAAAAUAUCGUGAACAUUUUCAGGGAAUGUAGUUCUUGAAUUGAAUUAAUAUUUUCAUUAUUCUAUUAUCAACCAAAGUUUUAAAAAAUGGUCCACGGUUAUAAUUUCGGUCACAUUUCUUCUAAAUUUCCUGCAAUAUCAAGUAUCCCCAUUAAACUAUGACCAGAACCAAAUGAGCAACUUGUUAUAAACAAUAAAUAUGAACCAGUGAGAAAGGAUAGUUCAGUAAGAGAAACCGAACAGGAGCUUUUCCAAUUAACAUCACACAAAAAAUAUCAGUUUUUAUUCAAUUAAAGUUCCUGCCAUUCUUACUAUUUACUAGAAUGAAGGUGAAAUUAUGUUUGUUAAAGCAGGCAGAGGAGAAAGAGAAUACUAGAUGUAUUCUGAUAUUAACUUCAUUAAAUAACAAUAAAAUUCUAAAAGUUAUUAGUCUUGAAAUCAAAAUACUUCCAUCAAUUUCAAGAUUUCCACACACAGCCUGAUGUAAAAGAAUACAUUUGAAAAGCGAGUUUGGUCAAACAAAAAGUAUAACAAAUUAAGUAUUAAUGCUUACCCAAGAUUAACAAGUAAGUAGGAAUUUAUGAGAAUGCAAGCUAUCGGAAGCAGUGGCACAAAUGGGCAAAUAAAACCUGAAAAAGAAUAAUGAUUGAAUUAUCUCUCUUAAGCUGAAUAGAAUUAAUGGUCAGCCUAUUUUUUACUGUUUGUUAUAAUUAUAUGCAACUCUUGUUCAAUAUACUCCAUGUGUGUGACACUAGAAGAUAUGCACCUCUGCAUUUGAAUGGAAUAAGACAACCAACACUACUCAUGAAUUUAUGUAACACAAGGAUAUUGUGGUAAGAUAUACCUCCAGUGUGCCCAAAGUCAUGUCUUGCGUCAUCUUGAUCUAUUCUGAUUAGGAAAACAAAACCACACAAAAGAAUAGCAGCUCCAACUCCACACAAUGCAAAGCGAACAGAACUGGCAAUAGCAUACAAAAAUGCUCAAAAAACUGGGAACCUCAUGCAAUCCUUAAAUGACACGAAAAACAACAGAUAAAGUGCAUAAAUUUAUUGAAGAGAUUAUCCUGUAACAGUAUUAUCAAACCUCUUCAAUUCUCAGGAUAAGGCCUAGUCCCUAAUAGCCCAUUUCCUUUCAUCUCAAACCAACCACCAAACUAUUUAGGGAACCUGAAUCCUUGAUUAGGUAUUGAGAAAUUUCCAUUGCAUGUGAAGCUUGAGAAAGGCUACAUAAUCUGCAAGUAGACUAACCUAGGAAGAGUGAAAUCUGAAGCUGCAUAUGUAAGGACAAACGCCCCUAAGAAGAUCAGUGAUAUGAUCCACCCAACAACUUUUCGCCUUUCAGCUUCAACUAUAUCUGUACCCAAAAUAAAUAAAUAAAUAAAUGCAUGAAGGAGAAAAUCAACAUAUGCCAAAUGACAGGAUUAUAACAAAUGAACCAAUGUUAGUUUCUUGAGCGACAUAGACUAUAUAUAAUGAACACUAAAUUGUAUUAUCCAUUAAAAAUAUUGGUAAAGGAGAAGGAAAGUGAUAACUCACGGUUUCCUCCAGAAAAAUGUUUGGUAAAAUCAACUGAAACAUCCUCCUUAACGAUCAAAGGCUUUGUGUGCUCAGAAGUAUUAGCAUCUACGUCUCCCACAUUUGUAUCUGAACUGCUCAAACUAUACCGCUUCAACACUGAAGCAAUUGAAUCCUUGAGAGAUGGAGGCAGCGGGACUUCAUUUGGAGGGACAUAUCUUAGGAUCAACACAGACAUUGCCACCAUGGUAAAUGCUAAAAGUGUACCCACACUAACCUGCAGGAGAAAAGUUAUAUACAUAUUAGUACAAAUAUCGACAUAUACAUAUUAGAACUACCUUAGGAAUACUUGAUGUCAACAGAGUAUGGAAUCAAAAAAGCGAAAAAAUAUUCUAGCCAUAUUGGAAAAAUAACCGACAUUCACGUCAACUAGAAAUAAUGUUAGAUACAAUAUGUAAGUAAAGCCACUUAUAAUUUUAUAAAUCGGUUUUGUAAGAUUAAAUUAGGUCAAAGAUACUUUGCAAGAUGAUAUUAGAACUGACCCUCAUAAGGGAUCACUCACCAUUAUAUACACUUACUAUGACCAGAGUUGGACAUAUGAGGGGCAAUCCUGUCACAAAUUUUGUUGGUUAAGUUAGGUCUAAACUACUUUGUAAGAUGGUAUUCCAACCUAUGCCAGAUCUACUAAAAGGGUUACUCACCACCAUGUUAUAAACCAAGCCCAAUUGUGGGGCAAUCCUAUUGGACUAGACUGAUAUAAAAACUCGUCAUUUAACUUCUCCAAAGCAAGGUAUAAGUUGAUUUUAGCUUUUGGAGAAAAAAUAUUUCUCCUUCCUGUGAGUGUAAGGAAAAAUCUAUGUGAACUGAACCAAAGUAAAUUUAGUUACCGUACUAUUCAAGGAGAGUGAACUAAUAAUGGUGUUGGUAAAGAGUGUUAUUAGAGGAAUGUUAGUUGCUAUAACGCACUAUUUCAUUUAGCAACGAAACUUGUAUCCACUGAAUCUAAAAAUUGUAGCAACCAAGUUCCAGACUUACCAUCCCUGCCAAUUCAGAGACUUCCAUAGAAAAUGCCAAGCCUGCAGCCACAAUGCCAGUAACUAUUGUGCCCUUAACAGGAACCUGAGUCUUCUUAUUUAUAUCAGCACAAAAAGGUGGCAGCAAUCCAUCUCUUGCCAUAGACAUCAAAAUUCGUGGCUGAGAAACAUUUAACAAAACACAAUGGUAACUUUGCCUGUUAACUCAAUACUUCAGAAAAAAAAAGGGGGGGACAAAGUUUGUGAUAACUGCUGGUACAAGCAAUCAUAGAAUGAAGCACGAAAGAAACGCAGCAUAUAUUUGAAUAUGAUGAUUCGAAUGAAAUUCAGUACACUGCACCUUGGUCUUCUAGUUCAUUACAUAAUUCUCUUAAGAAUCAAGCUUAGUGGUUAAAAAAUAUCAAUAAAAUUAAACUUUUAAUGAAAAUCACAGUGAGGGUGCCUUGGAAAUAAUAUCAGAAAUUGAGACGUUUCUGUUUGCUCAGUCUUUUCAGGUUGAAUUUAAUUAUAAACCUUGUCUUGUGGAAAAGUUAGGUGUUUGGUCAGUGGUUAAGUAAAAAUGAGUGGUAGCAUAUUUACAUCUCUCUUGCAUGUAUUAAACCUUUUGUAAAAUAUAACCCACUGCACUAAACAGAUUUGAUAUCAUUGCUUUUCUCCCUUCUUCCAUCGUAUAUCUUCACAAGAAAAACCCUAUUCUCAGUUUCUUUCUGGAUUUACAACCUUUACAGUUUUUCUGAUUUAAUAACAAAAAUAGUGAGUUGCAUUGAUACAUUUUGCAUGAAAACUUUCCACUUUUGGUUUCUUAACCAGUAUUCCAAGGGAAUUUAUUAACAUUCUCUUUGAAAUAAUUAAGUCACAUAAAUCCCAAAUUAAGACCCACAAGUACUAAUACGUACAAAUACCCUUUUAUCUCUCAAACUAAAACAGCUCAUAAACAAAAAGGUGUGUCAAUUUGUCUUGUUAGGUACAUCCUUAAUAUGAGAAUAUAGAGUUUGCCGUGUGUUCAAUACAAAACUUACACAUCCCCAGAAUAACGAAGAUUUAUAUUUACCCAUAAAAGUGAUACUUUAAAGUACUUCAAUAGUUUAUAAUUUUAACCAUACAUUAAAAAAAAUACAGGAGAACAACUUUGGCCUAAUAAAGAGUAAGCACAUAUGAAAUAUAUUAAAUUCACAGCAGAAAAAUAAGAGAAUAAACAAUUACAGAGGUGACAAACCCACCUGGGUUUAGAUUAACUUACCUGGGGAAGUAUCCCACCCAACAAUGCUGAACAGAGAGCUGUGCAAGCACCAGCAUUUAUAAUGUAACUGCAAUCACAAACAAGAAAUUUGUCUAUGGUGACAUAACAUCUACAUAGAUUAAGAAACUAAAAUUUGAUGAAGAAUCAGAUGCAAAAUUGUAAUGUCUAAACUUACGCUGCCCAUUCCAUUCCUUGUUCAGCAAAUGCAGAAGAUAUUGGUGUAUCCGGUUCAAUUGCAUAAUAAGGUACUAAACCAACUACAACAAGGGACACCAUCAUAUAUAUCCCACAGCAAAGAAACAAUGCACCUGCAAUACCUAGGGGUAAAUCUCGUUGAGGAUUUUUCACCUGUUUCAUCAAGUGAAACAUUAUCAGCAAGUUCGAACAAUUGAGCAUCCUCAAGCAUGCAUAUAUGUUUGGUGUAAAUUAUUUUGGAGAAAUAAUUGCCUCUUUUUGGGUAAAUACUUUUUGUUUCUGGUGAACUCAAGCUAUCCCAGUUGGGAGCCAAGGAUUAAUCUUCCGAAAUAUUGAGAUUCAUAUAUGAAGUUCAUAUCAGACAAAUGCUUUUCUAUACAUACGGAGCUCUCAGGACUAAACUUCUGAUCACAUAAUCAAAGAACAAAAUUAUCUGUCAAUAACAUACUAGGUUUGAAACCUAGUUAAAUUUUUAUCUCUCAAAAUGCUUUUAGUUUCUAAAUAAAAUUAUUUGGUUGUAGUUCUUAAAUGUAACAGAAACAUUAGUAUUUUCCCUACAGACAAAAUAUAUAUGUUGAGACCAAAAUUAUCUUUUUGUUAUUAAGAAAAUUGAGCUGACAAAAUAAUAUAAACUGAACCAAUAAACUGACACUAUCAUUAUUACCUCUUCAGCAGUGCUGGCAACUGCAUCAAAGCCUAUGUAUGCAAAGAAUACUGUGGCAGAACCAGCUAGUAUCCCAUUAAAACCAAAGGGAAAAAGUCUGUGAAAGCAAAAGAGACAAGCCUUAGGUAAUUAGAGACCAAACAUAUAACAUAGGAGAAGUGCAAAAGCAAAAAUUUAAAGUACCAAUCAGGAGUUUUGUCAAAUGAAACAGUACCCCAUAGGAAGAUCAUAUCCAAGCCAACCAGACUUGAAUCCCAUGUAACCACCAGCUACUAUGACAAAAAGCAAUGCACAUAUAUUCACUGCUGUCACUAUUCCUUGUACCACUGUACUCUGCAUGUAUUAAGCACUCUAAAUUUUUGGAUAUUUUAGCUUAGAAAACAAAUAAAGAACAGUGACAGGGUGAAUAUGUUCAUUGUGCAAAGCUCACGGUUCACAUACAAAGGAUCCAUGCAGUAUCUUAAACGAACAGAAAGAAAACAAUAUCACUCAUAUAUACAAAGAAGAAAUAUUAGUAUACGAACUCCUAUAUUACAUCAAUUUUUCAAAUAAUACUUUGUAAUAAAACAUUUUAUACUUUGUAAAUUUCUGUAUUUUCAGUAACUUUAUUUUACAAAAUGUCUACUCGUGUAAAGAUUUAUAAAUAAGCCUUUGUUAGCUGAUCAUUACUAAAAUUUGGUUAGUUUUUACUUUUUAUAAUCACAAUAGCCUAUACUGAAGGACUUAGGUAGAUCAUGUAAAUUUAAUUCCUAGAUAAAAGUAGAUAAAAGUAAGAAAAUUGAAUAGGUCAUUGUGAUUUAGUAAAAGCUUGUAAUAAUAGAAAAUUACCUCCUUGAUGCCCAGACACAAGAGUCCUGUAACAAGUAAUACCAAGAUUGCUGCACAUGGGUCUACAACUAUAUCCAUUCCAGAAAUAUGGUACCGCGAUAUGAACACUGGUAAAUUCUCCUUACCAAAAAGUGCAGUCUAAUCACACAUUUCAUUCAUGUCAGUGUUUGAAAUCACCUUUUCUUGCAAUUGGUUAAGCUAAAAGCAAGCAAAACAUUCUAUACAAAUUCUCAAAUUCAUAAACCUGACAACCAAAAAACUGAACUAACAACGCACCAAAUUGGGGGUUACGCCACGAGCAACAGCAGCACUGCCAAUUGUAUAUUCCAAAAUCAAGGACCAACCAAUCAACCAAGCAACACUGAAAGUAAAAGUAACCAUCAUUACUAUGAAUGUGAGAAGAAAAGAAACCGCCAAAUAAGGCUGCUAACACUGAAUGAUGCAAUUAGACAAUGGAAAAGAAAAACAAGAAUGAUACUUAAAGGACAUAGAUGUUAUAUAAAUUGGUAUACAACGUUAAAACAUAAAAAAGAGUACCCUUCUCCAAUACAUAUGUAUGAAUAGUGAUAUGCACUCCCUGCAGAAGGGCAUCUACUAGCCAACUCUGCAUAACAAAAGGCAGAAAGACCAGCUGCUAAUCCAGCAAUCAGAAAAGAAAUGGCCAAAGCAGGUCCAGCAUGCUCCCGUGCAACUGUUCCCACCAGAACAUACACUCCAGCACCAAUUGUUGAACCAACACCUGAUCAUCAUAUACCAAUGUCAAACUCAAUUGCAAAACAAUUAAUGUGUGUUCAUUAGAAGCUAAAAAAUUAGGAAAAUAAACACACUAAUAUGUCUUAGGAAUCUUGGUGUCAGUUUGAAUCCCAAAGUGAGAAAAUUGAGCAAUAUAAGAAAAUGAAAGACUUCAAUUUUUUGUUUUGAAAUUGGUGCUGUAAUUUCUUUUAUAAAUUGGUUUAUAAUGAAAGUAACUUUAAUCAUAACUGUAGUAAAUAUAAUAUCACAGAGGAAUUUUCUUUGACUUUGGAAGACUGUGAAAACACAAUCAUGACAAAAAUAUAAAAUAAAAAAGGGAAGGAAUAUGUCGUUCUGCCAAUAAGAAAAGAGGAAAUCCGACAAAUGUACCAAUCAAGCGGUCAAACAUGAAGACAAACCAAACAUUUUUCCACAUCACCCGAAAAUUGUAACAAUUCCAGGAACGUAUCCCAGAUGAAAACAUGAUUAAAGAUGAGAUUUUUAAUUAAAAAAGAAGAAGAAGAAGAAGAAGAAGAAGAAGAAGGAGAGGAAAGGAAUUGAAUUAAUCACCAAUAGCAAUGAGAUGAGGAACAGUUAACUCCCUGGCAAGAGAAGGCUGAGAGUAAUUCCUACUUUGAGAAUCAACCUGCUUCCUCCUAGUUAAAAACUUGAAGGAACCCCCUGAACCAUUUUGUGAUUGUGAACCAAUUGAAACACCCAUCAAAGAAAAAAAAAAACACACACACACACAGACACGAAUAUUUGCUAGCUCAACCACAAAGCCAAGUCUCCCUUAAUGAAAAACAAAAUCAACUUUGUCCCAAGAUCAAAGUGCACAACACAAAGGUGGUGGUGGUGUGGCCAAAAUUAACUAAUGUCGUAUAAUUCUCCUUGCUCUGUUGAUGGGGUUGUUGUCGUUAUGGAUAAAAGUGGCAAAAUAAGAAUCUGAAAUCGAAAUUGUUUGCGUCUUUCCUUGCUUGAUGGUGGUGACCAAUGCUGACAGAUUGACAAAAACGAAUGAAAGGGUAAAGGAAUGCUUAACGCCAAAUGGUAACGCUAUAAAAGGUAUCAUUGAGAAAGUAGGGGCAAUUAUAUAUAGUAAUUGUUUGCGUCUUUCCUUGCAUGUCAGCUAUCUUAUGUUUAUAGUUAACUCAAAACGUAUGGAUAUGUUUAAAAAAUAUAUGGGAGUCUGUCAGACAACCCUGCGACCAUCCCAAUUCGCUAGAACGGGAACGAUCCUCUACAGGAGGUGAUGAACACAGUCCGUAAACUGAGUCAACACUACCGUUAAUCACGCUCUGAUCACAGGGUCAUGGUUCAUCCACCAGACUUCAGUUCCUGUCUCCUUAGAACUUAAGGAUACAGAGGUACGAGCCUAUAGAACAGAUCCUGUUCAAGUAAGGUCGUGGCCAGAGCUAUCUGAUUCGCGUUUAUA